CCCCUGGUGGUCUAGCAGCUAGGAUUCCUGUUUUUCAUUCAGGCUACCCAGAUUCAAUCCCUGGGCAGGGAA
rnacentral:tRNA from 1 species